UGGAGAGUUUGAUCCUGGCUCAGGACGAACGCUGGCGGCGUGCUUAACACAUGCAAGUCGAACGGAAAGUGCCCUUCGGGGUGACUCGAGUGGCGAACGGGUGAGUAACACGUGGGUGAUCUGCCCUGCACUUUGGGAUAAGCCUGGGAAACUGGGUCUAAUACCGAAUAGGAUCAUGGCCUUCAUGGGUUGUGGUGGAAAGCUUUUGCGGUGUGGGAUGGGCCCGCGGCCUAUCAGCUUGUUGGUGGGGUAAUGGCCUACCAAGGCGACGACGGGUAGCCGGCCUGAGAGGGUGUCCGGCCACACUGGGACUGAGAUACGGCCCAGACUCCUACGGGAGGCAGCAGUGGGGAAUAUUGCACAAUGGGCGCAAGCCUGAUGCAGCGACGCCGCGUGAGGGAUGACGGCCUUCGGGUUGUAAACCUCUUUCAGUAGGGACGAAGCGCAAGUGACGGUACCUAUAGAAGAAGCACCGGCCAACUACGUGCCAGCAGCCGCGGUA
rnacentral:rRNA from 1 species